AUUCUGAAAAUGUUUCCUUCUCGACUGUUUGUCAUUUACCGCCCAAGUUUUGUACAGAUAGGGUUAUGUUAUUUAACCAGAAUUAAGAAGCAUUUAACUUCCAGCAUUGUGUGGUAGAAGAAUGGAAAGUUCUUUUCAAUCUCGUCACUGUUGCCAUGAUGCUGUUUAUACAGAAUGGUGUGUAUUUACUGCAUUGGUUCACAUUCAGCCUUUAUGUUGCACAAGAAGCUGUUUUAAAUUCCACUACAGCGAGAAGGAACAGAGUGAUUUUUUCUGUUAAUUCUUGCCAUUCAUGCCAUUCCUGUGAUCACCUUGUUCCGUUGGCUACGCAAACAGGAUGCAGAUGAAAAGGUGGUCUCUUUAGCAACCAGAUUCGUUGACAGCAUUUGGAGCCUCCCGGUUUGAAAAUGUAGGAAAGUUAUGAGAAAGACGUGUUGACAUCCACCUUACAUAAUUGAGGGAGAGAGCUGCGGUUAGUGUUAUUGCUUAGUAAUGCCAGCUUCUUCAUCGCCCCUCUUCAUUGGCCAGGCAAACGAACCCGCGGAUGAGAAGAUUUUCGUUUUGUCAACCAGGUUAGUCCGUGUAAUAAUUCUAGUUAACUUGUUCGAGCCCUCCCAGAAACAAGUUUCUGUAUUUAGUGCUUAAAAAAACUAGAACACAAAAAACGACAUGUUAAUCGAGGCUCUGUCAAAAAGGGAACUGCUACGAAGUAAUUUUAGCCGUUUUUUUUUAUUUUGUUUGGUUAUAACCGUCGUUAUGGUUCAGCAAUCUUUCGUCCGUUGACAUAGAUUUUAUUGCCACCUUGUUUAACCUUGGGGUUAGGAAAUGUUUCAUUUCCCGAUUAACCUGUCCUUUUUGUAGUAGAUGUUUUAUCCGUACAUGGAUAAGUUAACAUGUGUCUACAGCUUAUCGGUGGUUUUAUUUUCAAAAGAAUUCUUCAUUAGGCUUCGACCCCAAAUUUUUGCGCGAUAUAUUAUUGUUUCAGGUGUUUAGUUCUUGCUGUUGAUUCCACUUGUUAUCUUUCUUGUCUCUUGCACCAGAAUCAUAGGACCUACUUGGUUCUAUGAAUCUGCUUGCAACGAAGAGAACACAUUUUUGUCUUCACUCUGCUGGUUAUGUAACCUCAGGUUGAAAUCUUGUCUUUUGCAAGCGGGGUAUUUGUUUUCCCUUUUCUCCGAAUUAUCCGCCUCGGCGUUUUAAAAGUCUAUCGCAAACAGACUAAAAACUCUCUGCGUUUCUUUUGUCUUUCGUGAUUCACGUGUUUACAUUCCCGUCUCCCAGCACAUCAGUGGAGUGAGAGAUUUGAUGGAAAUGUAGCUUUUUGGAGAAAUCAGAUUUUCAUCUGACAGGCUAUUCUUUUUACUUGUUCAUUCUGUUUUCGCUCUUUUUUUGAAUAAUCAAUUAUAGCUGUAGGAAAACAUGAGUGAAAGGCUGUUUAUUGAGUGCACGAUGUGACAAAAACGUUGAACUUGGUUGGCAUGCGCCUACGACAGAUUCUCUUUUUUCUUAUUUAACGAACUUGGGAUGUUGUAAUGUGCAAACCAUUUAAAAAAAAACUUAGCAAAACCUGACUAAGAAAUCAUACAAA